GACGAACGCUGGCGGCGUGCCUAAUACAUGCAAGUAGAACGCUGAAGAGAGGAGCUUGCUCUUCUUGGAUGAGUUGCGAACGGGUGAGUAACGCGUAGGUAACCUGCCUGGUAGCGGGGGAUAACUAUUGGAAACGAUAGCUAAUACCGCAUGAUAUUAAUUGUUGCAUGAUAAUUAAUUGAAAGAUGCAAUUGCGUCACUACCAGAUGGACCUGCGUUGUAUUAGCUAGUUGGUGAGGUAACGGCUCACCAAGGCGACGAUACAUAGCCGACCUGAGAGGGUGAUCGGCCACACUGGGACUGAGACACGGCCCAGACUCCUACGGGAGGCAGCAGUAGGGAAUCUUCGGCAAUGGGGGGAACCCUGACCGAGCAACGCCGCGUGAGUGAAGAAGGUUUUCGGAUCGUAAAGCUCUGUUGUAAGAGAAGAACGAGUGUGAGAGUGGAAAGUUCACACUGUGACGGUAUCUUACCAGAAAGGGACGGCUAACUACGUGCCAGCAGCCGCGGUAAUACGUAGGUCCCGAGCGUUGUCCGGAUUUAUUGGGCGUAAAGCGAGCGCAGGCGGUUAGAUAAGUCUGAAGUUAAAGGCUGUGGCUUAACCAUAGUAUGCUUUGGAAACUGUUUAACUUGAGUGCAGAAGGGGAGAGUGGAAUUCCAUGUGUAGCGGUGAAAUGCGUAGAUAUAUGGAGGAACACCGGUGGCGAAAGCGGCUCUCUGGUCUGUAACUGACGCUGAGGCUCGAAAGCGUGGGGAGCAAACAGGAUUAGAUACCCUGGUAGUCCACGCCGUAAACGAUGAGUGCUAGGUGUUAGGCCCUUUCCGGGGCUUAGUGCCGCAGCUAACGCAUUAAGCACUCCGCCUGGGGAGUACGACCGCAAGGUUGAAACUCAAAGGAAUUGACGGGGGCCCGCACAAACGGUGGAGCAUGUGGUUUAAUUCGAAGCAACGCGAAGAACCUUACCAGGUCUUGACAUCCCUCUGACCGCUCUAGAGAUAGAGUUUUCCUUCGGGACAGAGGUGACAGGUGGUGCAUGGUUGUCGUCAGCUCGUGUCGUGAGAUGUUGGGUUAAGUCCCGCAACGAGCGCAACCCCUAUUGUUAGUUGCCAUCAUUGAGUUGGGCACUCUAGCGAGACUGCCGGUAAUAAACCGGAGGAAGGUGGGGAUGACGUCAAAUCAUCAUGCCCCUUAUGACCUGGGCUACACACGUGCUACAAUGGCUGGUACAACGAGUCGCAAGCCGGUGACGGCAAGCUAAUCUCUGAAAGCCAGUCUCAGUUCGGAUUGUAGGCUGCAACUCGCCUACAUGAAGUCGGAAUCGCUAGUAAUCGCGGAUCAGCACGCCGCGGUGAAUACGUUCCCGGGCCU
rnacentral:rRNA from 1 species